rnacentral:rRNA from 1 species
UGGGGAAUUUUGGACAAUGGGCGCAAGCCUGAUCCAGCAAUGCCGCGUGCAGGAUGAAGGCCUCCGGGUUGUAAACUGCUUUUGUACGGAACGAAACGGCGAGCUCUAAUACAGUUUGCUAAUGACGGUACCGUAAGAAUAAGCACCGGCUAACUACGUGCCAGCAGCCGCGGUAAUACGUAGGGUGCAAGCGUUAAUCGGAAUUACUGGGCGUAAAGCGUGCGCAGGCGGUUAUGUAAGACAGAUGUGAAAUCCCCGGGCUUAACCUGGGAACUGCAUUUGUGACUGCAUAGCUAGAGUACGGUAGAGGGGGAUGGAAUUCCGCGUGUAGCAGUGAAAUGCGUAGAUAUGCGGAGGACACCGAUGGCGAAGGCAAUCCCCUGGACCUGUACUGACGCUCAUGUACGAAAGCGUGGGGAGCAAACAGGAUUAGAUACCCUGGUAGUCCACGCCCUAAACGAUGUCAACUGGUUGUUGGGUCUUCACUGACUCAGUAACGAAGCUAACGCGUGAAGUUGACCGCCUGGGGAGUACGGCCGCAAGGUUG